UACGUAGGUGGCAAGCGUUACUCGGAAUCACUAGGCGUAAAGCGCAGGUAGGAGGUUUGGUAAGUCUGUUGUGAAAGCUCCCGGCUUAACUGGGAGAGGUCAACGGAAACUACUAGGCUAGAGUGCGGUAGAGGUAGCUGGAAUUCCCGGUGUAGCGGUGAAAUGCGUAGAUAUCAGGAGGAACACCGGUGGCGAAGGCGGUGGUCUGGGCCGGAACUGACGCUGAGGAGCGAAAGCGUGGGGAGCGAACAGG
rnacentral:rRNA from 1 species